UUCUUUGCCUCCCUAUCGCUACAGUACCAUCUUCAACCUCCAGGCAGAGCCGAGCCAGCCGUCCCGUGCACAGUUGCCGUCGAUUUCCCCUCCAAAUCCGGUCUCCUCUCUCGUGUUAUUUCAAAAUUAGUUGAGGGGAAAUAUUCCUUUAUAUCUCCUCUACUUUUCCCCCAAGAAUCGAACUUUAUCCCGAAGAAAUCAACGCGGAAUCGAGCUCGGUUCGUGUUUAUCUCUCCACCUAACCCUCGGAUUUUCCGGCUCAAAUCCUUUCGUUUGGAGUCCGAUCUCCCUCACCCAUGCCUAUAUAAAGGAUCCCCUAGCUGCCCUCUUCCGUUUGCGUCGAGUCCAAGCCGCAGCCGUCGCCCGUAGCGCCGCCACCGCGUAGCCCUAGUCGUCGCCGUCGUUGUCGUCGCUUCAGCCGCGCCGCGCCGCUGCUGUGGUCGUCGCCGCCGCCUUACGUCGCCACCGUCGGGUUCGUGAGGAGGAGGAGCACCCCGUCCGCCCCUUUGCAGCCGCCGAAGACCGCCGGAGCGCCGCCGUCGACGUUGAGCCGAACCGUGCCGCCUUGGGACCUCGUCGCCGGCCGUCGUUUGUCGUCGUCCGUCGUUUUUCUUUGCACCGGUGAGCUCGCGUCGUCGUCCUCUUUGUGUUGGUGUCUUCAGAUAGCCCAACCGAGCUCUCUAUCGCCGGCGGAGUUGUGGUCCAGUGCCAUCGCUGCGAUGAUGUCAUCGCGACAUCAUAAAUCUUUUUUUAGUUUUUCUGUAUUAGAUAAAAUCUGAUUAAACUUCGGAAAUUCAUAAUUAAAUCAUCAUAACUCGGAUUUGAGUCAUUCAAGUUGCUAAAUUCACUUAAAAUCAUGAUCUACAUGUUUGUUUACUUUUUAUAUACUGUUUAUUUGGUUUUUAUUAGUUUUUUUCUUCGUUUUACGUGUUAGCUCGUCGUUUCCGUUGUUGCGAAGGUUCGCGAGUGCGUCGAAACUGGUUUAGAAGACUAUUUGAAGACCGAUUAUUGCAAGGCAAGUCACACAGAUCCUAAACACAAUCCAAUCCUUUGAGCAUGUUGAUCCUAUAUUUAAAUUCUCUAUUUAUUUCAACUGUGCAUUUAUUUUCGAAUGUCACCGGAUGGUGUGAACCUAUUCCUUUUGUUAUGGCCAAAUUGCAUUGAUUACUCUAUUCCUCGAUACCUUGGGUAACAAAUUGAUUAGUUUGAACCUUAUAUAUUGGUUUGGUUCAGCUAAAAGCUAUAUAUAUAUAUAUAUAUAUAUAUAUAUA
rnacentral:lncRNA from 1 species